rnacentral:rRNA from 1 species
GACGAACGCUGGCGGCGUGCUUAACACAUGCAAGUCGAACGGAAAGGCCCUGCUUUUGUGGGGUGCUCGAGUGGCGAACGGGUGAGUAACACGUGAGUAACCUGCCCUUGACUUUGGGAUAACUUCAGGAAACUGGGGCUAAUACCGGAUAGGAGCUCCUGCUGCAUGGUGGGGGUUGGAAAGUUUCGGCGGUUGGGGAUGGACUCGCGGCUUAUCAGCUUGUUGGUGGGGUAGUGGCUUACCAAGGCUUUGACGGGUAGCCGGCCUGAGAGGGUGACCGGCCACAUUGGGACUGAGAAACGGCCCAGACUCCUACGGGAGGCAGCAGUGGGGAAUAUUGCACAAUGGGCGGAAGCCUGAUGCAGCAACGCCGCGUGCGGGAUGACGGCCUUCGGGUUGUAACCCGCUUUCGCCUGUGACGAAGCGUGAGUGACGGUAAUGGGUAAAGAAGCACCGGCUAACUACGUG